AAGUACCGUGAGGGAAAGUUGAAAAGCACUCUGAAUAGAGAGUUAAAUAGUACGUGAAACCGCUUAGGGGUUAAGCCUGAUGAACCCGAAUAUUUGAAAUGAGAAAUUCAUUAUUAUUAAGUAGCUGCACUUUGCUGUAGCGAACAAUGGUAUGCACUUUUCUCAGUGUAAAACAUUGCAAUCUAUUUGUAUAUCCGUAUGGAUGGUUUAUCAAAUGGCCCGUAUGGUUUGUUCAUUCCUAUCUGUGACAUUUUAUGUCAUAUGGUUGAUGCCAUAGCGGUGACCUGGUAAACAGCAGAUAGUUUUUAAAAAUCAUGCAACCACAUUUUAUGUGUAUCACGGUCCGUGUGCUUUUGUGCGCGGAUGCAGUGAUAGCAUGCAUUUGAUUGGCAAUGCGAUAGGUUUGGGAACCUUCAGGACCCGUCUUGAAACACGGACCAAGAAGUCUAACAUGUGUGCGAGUCAUUGGGUAUAUUGUUGAAACCUAAGGGCGCAAUUAAAAUAACUAUUUUAUAUGGGAUUACAAGUGAAUUAAAUUUCAUUUCUUCAUCCCGGGGCGUUCUAUACGAACAUGGUGCAAGCAAUUGUGCCCUCUGUUCAAGAGCGUACCUUGAGCAUACAUGCUGUGACCCGAAAGAUGGUGAACUAUACCUGAUCAGAUCGAAGCCAGGAGAAAUUCUGGUGGAGGAUCGAAACAGUUCUGACGUGCAAAUCGAUUGUCAGAAUUGGGUAUAGGGGCGAAAGACCAAUCGAACCAUCUAGUAGCUGGUUCCCUCCGAAGUUUCCCUCAGGAUAGCUGGCGCAAAGAAUUAUAUUGUAUAUAAUCUUAUCUGGUAAAGCGAAUGAUUAGAGGCCUUGGGGCCGAAACGACCUCAACCUAUUCUCAAACGUGCCCAGUGGGCCACUUUUGGUAAGCAGAACUGGCGCUGUGGGAUGAACCAAACAUGAUGUUACGGCGCCUAAAUUAAUGACUCAUAUUGAUACCAUGAAAGGCGUUGGUUGCUUAAAACAGCAGGACGGUGGACAUGGAAGUCGUAAUCCGCUAAGGAGUGUGUAACAACUCACCUGCCGAAGCAACUAGCCCUUAAAAUGGAUGGCGCUCAAGUCAUAUGCCUAUACAUCAUCGCUAGAAUAAAAAUUGUUGACUUUCGGGUCAUCAAUAUGAAAUUCUAGUGAGUAGGAGGGUACAAUGGUGUGCGCGGAAGUGUUUGGCGUGAGCCUGCAUGAAGCCGCCAUUGGCACAGAUCUUGGUGGUAGUAGCAAAUAAUCGAAUGAGAUCUUGGAGGACUGAAGUGGAGAAGGGUUUCGUGUGAACAGUGGUUGAUCACGAGUUAGUCGGUCCUAAGCUUUAUGCGAAAGCUGUUUAAUUUAUGUUACAUACACAUUUAUUUUUGUUGUACAUAAUUCAAUAAAAGCGAAAGGGAAUACGGUUCCAAUUCCGUAACCUGUUGAGUAUACGUUUGUUUAUUAAAAAUGGGUCUUAUUACACUCAUCCUGGCAACAGGAACGACCAUAGAGAAGCCUUCGAGAGAUACUGGAAGAGUUUUCUUUUCUGCUAAACAAACGUAUCACCAUGGAAGUCUUUUAUAGAGAGAUAUGGUGAAUGGCUUGGAAGAGCAUGACAUUUACUGUUGUGUCAGUAUUUUCUCCUUGGACCUUGAAAAUCUAUGGUGGGGCCACGCAAACUUUCUCAACAGACCGUACCGAUAUCCGCAGCCGGUCUCCAAGGUGAAGAGUCUCUAGUCGAUAGAAUA
rnacentral:rRNA from 1 species